rnacentral:rRNA from 1 species
UUGACCUCGAAUCAGGUAGGGAUACCCGCUGAACUUAAGCAUAUCAAUAAGCGGAGGAAUCUGGCUCCUUUGGAGUCCGAGUUGUAAUUUGUAGAAGAUGCUUUGGGUUGCCGGUCCGGUCUAAGUUCCUUGGAACAGGGCGUCAUAGAGGGUGAGAAUCCCGUAUGCGGCCGUGACCUGUGCCCGUGUAAAGCUCUUUCGACGAGUCGAGUUGUUUGGGAAUGCAGCUCAAAAUGGGUGGUAAAUUUCAUCUAAAGCUAAAUAUAGGCCAGAGACCGAUAGCGCACAAGUAGAGUGAUCGAAAGAUGAAAAGCACUUUGGAAAGAGAGUUAAACAGUACGUGAAAUUGUUGAAAGGGAAGCGCUUGCAACCAGACUUGGGCGUCGUGGAUCAUCCGAGGUUCUCCUCGGUGCACUCGACGACGCGCAGGCCAGCAUCGGUUUGGAUGGCUGGAAAAAGGCCCUAGAAAUGUAGCUCCUCGCGGGGAGUGUUAUAGUCUAGGGCGCAAUGCAGCCCAACCGGACCGAGGACCGCGCUUAGGCUAGGAUGCUGGCGUAAUGGUUGUAAGCGACCCGUCUUGAAACACGGACCAAGGAGUCUAACAUCUAUGCGAGUGUUUGGGCGUUAAACCCAUACGCGGAAUGAAAGUGAACGUAGGUGAGAACCCGUAUGGGGGCAUCAUCGACCGAUCCUGAAGUCUUCC